rnacentral:lncRNA from 1 species
CUUGGCUUGGCGGUGGUCGCUUGGCUUGGCGUGGCAGUGAUCGCUUGGCUUGGCAUUUCUGGCUUGGCGGUCCUCCUUUCGCAGAUUGGAAACCGCGGGCUAUCCUGCUGGGAGGUUGUGGCCGAGGCAGUAGCUCGCUACUGAUGGCCUCCUGGGGUGGAGAAAAGCGGGGAGGGGCUGAGGGGUCUCCGAAGCUGGCAGUCUACGCCACGAGGAAGACCCGUAGCGUCAGGAGCCAGGAGGACCAGUGGUACUUGGGCUACCCGGGGGACCAGUGGUCUUCGGGCUUCUCCUACAGCUGGUGGAAAAAUAGCGUCGGCAGCGAGAGCAAGCACGGUGAGGGCGCCUUAGACCAGCCCCAGCACGACGUCCGCCUGGAAGAUCUUGGCGAGCUCCACAGAGCUGCCCGGUCGGGCGACGUCCCUGGGGUGGAGCACGUCUUGGCUCCUGGAGACACUGGCGUGGACAAGAGGGAUAGGAAGAAGAGCAUUCAGCAACUAGUUCCUGAAUAUAAGGAAAAACAGACACCUGAAAGUCUUCCUCAAAAUAACAAUCCAGAUUGGCAUCCUACUAAUUUGACCCUUAGUGAUGAGACUUGUCAGAGAUCCAAGAAUCUGAAAGUUGGUGAUAAAAGUCCAUCUGUAUCACCAUCAAUGCCUGAAAAUCAGUCAGCAACCAAAGAACUGGGACAGAUGAACUUAACAGAACG